UACAGAGGAGCCAAGCGUUGUCCGGAUUGACUGGGCGUAAAGCGCACGCAGGCGGAUGCGCGCGUGGGGUGUGAAAUCUGGCCGCUUAACGGCCAGGCGCCAUCCCAUACGGCGCGUCUGGAGCUAUGCAGAGGUCGGUGGAAUUGCCGGUGUAGUGGUGAAAUGCGUAGAUAUCGUAAGGAAGACCAGUGGCGAAGGCGGGUCUCUGGACAGUUCCUGACGCUGAGGCACGAAGGUCAGGGGAGCAAACGGG
rnacentral:rRNA from 1 species